rnacentral:rRNA from 1 species
UACGGGGGGGGCAAGCGUUGUUCGGAAUUACUGGGCGUAAAGGGCUCGUAGGCGGCCAACUAAGUCAGACGUGAAAUCCCUCGGCUUAACCGGGGAACUGCGUCUGAUACUGGUUGGCUUGAAUCCGGGAGAGGGAUGUGGAAUUCCAGGUGUAGCGGUGAAAUGCGUAGAUAUCUGGAGGAACACCGGUGGCGAAGGCGGCAUCCUGGACCGGUAUUGACGCUGAGGCGCGAAAGCCAGGGGAGCAAACAGG